AAUGUAUUCAUUUUGAAUGUUCAAUCGGAACAAAUUAUUCGGAAUUAAGUAAUAUUCUGCAUAUAAACGCGGCUAUUGAUUUUCCUUCUGGAUUACGCUACAGUAGCUACACUUUGUUUAAAAAUAUAAAGACAGGACAUCCAAACUGGCUGAGAGGUUUGCCACUACCGAAAGGAUUUUGCUGUCCAGAUUUUGCUUAAGCUAUUUGCUGUCCAGUGCUGAAACUGCCACGUGGCGAUGCAUCGCUGUUAAUUUCAGCUGCUUAAAAAUGAACGGCUAACCCUGUUGCUGUAAAAUUCUGGAUCAUGUUAGUAUCCUAUUAUACUUUUUGAUAUGUUAUUAUUUUGGUGAUAUAAUGCUCUAGCUACAUUUAUUUAUCGAUACGCUGAAGACAUUUAUUGUUUCCCUACGAGUGUACUGCCAUUGGUGAAUACAUUAAGUCAAGGUAGCCUAUUAUGGUCGUGGGGAAGGCAUUCAGAAAGGAAUGCAGAAGCUGGUCAUCUGGUUACUAUAGAAAUUCUGUGGUCACAGGCACAUACAGUUUAUCAUUGCCUCACAUGUCAUAUAAUUAAAAUGGCUCCUGCAUAGUGUAUGGAUGUUUACCUCCAAAGUUACUUGUGAAGCUUUGAGGAGCCACAUUCCUGGUAGCAGAACAUGUAUUAAGUAGAUGUCACAAAUGACUCUGCUAGCUCUACCUACCCCAGAUGAAUCAGCAUGACUGUUGCCAUGCAUGAACUGAACAUUGCACUUACAGUACCGCCUACUGUCAUCCUAGGUGGCCAUUGAUUUCACAGCAUCCAAUGGGGACCCUCGAAACAGCUGCUCCCUGCACUACAUCAACCCCUACCAGGCCAAUGAGUACCUGGAGGCCUUGGUAGCAAUUAGGGAGAUAUGUCAAGAUUACGACAGGUUGGCUGAUCAAGACGACCGUUGACAAACAAAGGUGGAUGCGCUGAUGGACGAAGCGGCUUAUGAGAAAUUCAUCAAAUCGAUCGAUAACUAAGAGCCCUGCUGGAAGUCCAUGCUUCCUUUUUACAUAAAAACUUGAUCAAGGCUGUCUGAGAUCAGAAGAAGAACAGAAGAACUGUGGCAGAAGAACUGCGCCACAGCCGAUCGGCGUAGACAGCGCCCCGCUGAUUACACCUAUAAUUCAAUUAUUGGGAGCCGGCUGGCGUCAAUAAACGCCCGUUUCCCGUUUCAAUGAACAUAUGAGUGUAGCAUUGCACCCAAAGGUCUCAAUUAAACAGCUUUUAUUUCAAAUAUGCCAUCUUUGCUGGUAUCGUUCUACUGUGUCUGCAUGUGUGCAAUCUCCAAAAUCCAUCUCUUUACAAAUAUACUGUAUAAUGCAUAAUUUAGUCGUUCUAUCCGCUAUUCGUAAAAAAAGGAUUCUGAGCAUUUACUAAAAACAUUUACCGGUGAAGCGGUGAACCAACAACUAAUUUCCCUGCUUUGAUGUGUGAUGUUGCAAACCCUGUGAAAACAGCAUUGAUUCUAUUUAUAACAUCCAAACUACACAUAGCAGAAAGGCAGUGUGGUGAUGGGCCAGUUGUGAUAGCCAGUUUCCUAUAAAGAGGGAGAGCUUUCCUCUGGCUAAUACAACACCAGCCUGCCUGUGUUCAAAGCUUGCGUGGCAGGCUAAACCAAGACAAGGGUUUCGCCUGCCAACAUUCUUUAAUAUUUCAAUAAUGUUGGGGUAAAUUCCAGUUAGAUUCCCUUUUUGUUGGGAGAUUUUGGUUUGAGUGCCAUGAUGAGAACAGUUUUCAGUUAUGUCAAAGCCACAAAAAGGAAACAUACAGACAAUCAUACAUUGCAGGCACAGGGCAAACAAAUUGACAUAUCUCCUGAUUAUUUUAUCUUGAAUAAAAAUUCUAGGAUUCCAUUUUGUAUUAACAGAACUCUGGUAAUGAAUGACAGACAGACUACUAUGAUGCUUAUAGAUGGAUUUGAUUGUAUUGCCAUAGGAGGAUAUGAAAUCCGUUGCUCAUAAGCUGUAUGGUUAUACAGUCAAAUAAAAUAAAAAUGUCUUUGUCUUGAUA